ensembl:lncRNA
UGAAUAACACAGGCUGCAGUUUCACUCUGACCUGCACUGAGCUUCUAAUUUGCUUGCUGAAAUUAUCUUUUCUAGAAAAGCACCUGCCCUGAUAUAUGAAGCAAUGAGUUGUGGAGAGCUCAACACUUCCUUUGGAUUUUACCCCAGUGGUUAAUUGUGAUUGCAAUUAAAAUGUGCUCCUGCAAUCUAAUUUGAUUUUGUUUGGCUCCAGUGGCUACAUACAGACCUUACACAUUCUGGCCAUAGAGUGAAGACUUGAAUCCCCCUUGUUUUCUUUUCUGAAUGUUUUCAUGUGAUGAACAGUUUGUCUUUCACUUUCAUGACUGAUAAACUGCAUAGAUUGGACCCAACAGCUCUUCUUGUUUUGUGUUUUCCUGAGCACUCCAAUCACUUUUAUAGGCUCUCCAAUUUAUCAACAUGCUUUUGAAACUGUCUCUCCUAAGCUGUGAAUAUGUAGACCACGGAGGAAAGGAACGCUGGUGAUGCUGCUGUUAUCAAGAUACUCUUAAGGAGCUGAAAUUUGUUUACCACAUGCUGCUAUUCACAGCAUUAUGGGCUAUGAUGAGGCUGCUAGUAGUUCUCUUGAACUAUACAAUCUGUAUGUUUGAAAACCAGCCUGUAGGAGAAACCUUUUCCAGCCAGUAUUGGAAAACCCUGAAGAUGUCUAAACAGCUCAUGGAUGAAGAUACUGUUUCUCAGUGACCAUGGGCUUUGGAAUACACUUUCUCUUCAGACUGGCUACGUUCGCCUGAAAUACAUGAAAGUGGAUGUCUGAUAUGCUCUGCAAGGCACAUUUUUAUAAGUGUUGAGAAGAACCAGCAAAUUGUGCACUUGGAAUCAGGAGAUUAAGCAACCUAUCUUCUAUCUGUUUUUACUGGUUUGGGUCAGUAUAUGAAGGGGGAAACACCUGAGUACUUGCCCAUUUCUGGUCUCAUCCAAAAAUUUGCAAAGACAAGUGACAAAUCCCCUCCCAUGUGCAGCAGUAAAAGUCAGAUGAUAAUGUGAUUCCAGUUAAAAUACCUGCCUAGAUAACUGCCUGAUAACACCUAACUGGUUGUUGGUUUCGGCCAGAGCUGACUUGUUAGUUUCAGCAGUGCUUUCUGACAUGACGGUAUUUGUGCCUAAUUACAUGUUGGUUUGUGGCUUGAAUCCAAGCUCUCCCACCAUCUUCGCUUCCUACUAUUGGAUCAUAUUUCAGAUUGGCCUCAGGCAAAUCAACUGUGUUUUCUCAGGCAAGAAAAGUCAAGCUCCCUGUGGGGAGUUGCUUGACCUUGGACUAUACCUCAUCAAGCAGUAGUAACUCAAGGCAGCUUGGGUCUGCCACUACAGAUUUUCUUCACUCUUAGGAAUAAGCAGUUCUUCAGACUCAAGUGCCUGAGCUCUAUUAUGACCUAAAAAGGAAAGAAAACACAAAAGGCGUCUGCAAUCCUGACAUACCCUGAAGUUCCUUAGCCCCCUUCUGCAAAAUGUACAUGGAUAUGCGGUGUGAGUUAUUGCCAGGAAGACAACUCUCCCAUCCUUCCUCUCGUCUGAAACAUUCACUGUGCAACAAAUUUGUCUGGCUCUUGAAGCAGCCAUCAAUCUGUGCCAUGUCUGCCGCAGCUUGUUAGCAUCCAGAAAAAUUUACAUACAGAUUUGAAUUCCACACAACUGGAUGGGGAAGAUUUGUGCCUUCACUCAAGCCCACAUUCUUAAACUUGCUGGUGGUAACUGCAGUGGAACAAGGGAUGUGCUUCAAGGUGAAAAUGUAUCAGACAGAAUUCCUUUUGAAAGCUUGAGUUUUGCAGUUUAACUUUGAGUAAACAAUUUGUCAGUGUCUAAUUAUUGUGGAUCUAUUUGCCUUGGUGCAUACUGGCUACCAUUAAAAAUGCUAACAGUUAAAAAGGGAACAGCAGCAUAAAAAGAAAUCUUUCUGUUAAAAAGAAAGCUCUGUUUUCCUUUACUUUACUUUAGGCUGCUCCGAAAGUAAUGCUUUCUAUUUUAUGAUGUUGGUCCACAAUGCCAGAG